GGUCAAUUAGCUCAGUUGGUAGAGCACGACACUCAUAAUGUCGCUGUCACUGGUUCAAAUCCAGUAUUGACCAC
rnacentral:tRNA from 1 species